rnacentral:rRNA from 1 species
AUUGAACGCUGGCGGCAUGCUUUACACAUGCAAGUCGACGGUAACAGGUCUUCGGAUGCUGACGAGUGGCGAACGGGUGAGUAAUGCAUCGGAACGUGCCCAGUCGUGGGGGAUAACGCAGCGAAAGCUGUGCCUAAUACCGCAUACGAUCUAUGGAUGAAAGCGGGGGAUCGCAAGACCUCGCGCUAUUGGAGCGGCCGAUAUCAGAUUAGCUAGUUGGUGGGGUAAAGGCCUACCAAGGCUACGAUCUGUAGUUGGUCUGAGAGGACGACCCAGCCACACUGGGACUGAGACACGGCCCAGACUCCUACGGGAGGCAGCAGUGGGGAAUUUUGGACAAUGGGCGCAAGCCCUGAUCCAGCAAUGCCGCGUGCAGGAAGAAGGCCUUCGGGUUGUAAACUGCUUUUGUCAGGGAAGAAAUCUUCUGGGCUAAUACCCCGGGAGGAUGACGGUACCUGAAGAAUAAGCACCGGCUAACUACGUG